GGAGUUAGCCGGUGCUUCUUCUGUGAGUGAUGUCCUUCCUUCCGGCUAUUAACCCGCAGGCCUUCUUCCUCACUGAAAGUGCUUUACAACCCGAAGGCCUUCUUCACACACGCGGCAUGGCUGGAUCAGGGGUUGCCCCCCAUUGUCCAAUAUUCCCCACUGCUGCCUCCCGUAGGAGUCUGGGCCGUGUCUCAGUCCCAGUGUGGCUGAUCAUCCUCUCAGACCAGCUACGGAUCGUCGCCUUGGUGAGCCGUUACCUCACCAACCAGCUAAUCCGACAUAGGCUCAUCCGAUAGCGCGAGGCCCGAAGGUCCCCCGCUUUCCCCCGUAGGUCGUAUGCGGUAUUAGCCUGGGUUUCCCCCAGGUUAUCCCCCCACUACCGGGCAGAUUCCUAUGCAUUACUCACCCGUCCGCCGCUCGCCACCAGGGAGCAAGCUCCCCGUGCUGCCGCUCGACUUGCAUGUGUUAGGCCUGCCGCCAGCGUUCAAUCUGAGCCAGGAUCAAACUCUGA
rnacentral:rRNA from 1 species